AGUCGGGUUCCUAACCCGCUCAGCCACAACGGAAACUCCUGGCUCAUUUUUAUAACACUGUUUAGCGUGAACUGAAACCCUGCCGGGGUCACCUCUUCCAGCCUGGAAGCAAACCCAGGAAUCUGCGGUGCCUGCCACAAGCUGCUCUGGCCCCAGGGUUCUGGGCAUCAGGAAGGGAGCCAGGCGGGGCUGGGGAACAGCUGUUGACUUCCCCCAGCAGGUGGGUGCUGCUUCCAUGGCGACCAGGCAGAUGCGGGUGGAUUCCUUAGGCAGGGUGUGGGGACUUGAGGGGGUGCACGCAAGGGCUGGAACGGAGAAAGGGAAUUGGGGGUUGUCUCUCUCCUCUAUCUAAUAGCCUCCUUCUGACAAGGAGCUUCUGUUCUUUUCCACUGGAAAGCUUUUAAGAACGCUGAAAAGGACAGGCAAUUACAGGAAGGUUAGGUGCGCCUGAUUGGAUGUUGUUACAGAUCACUCAUUGUCAUACACGGCGUUUGGAAAGGCGGCCAUCGGGGACUGAUUGCCGUUUAGGGAAGCAAAGUCAAUGAAGGACUUUCGGCACGGAAAGAGAUAUGAUGGAAUAUACAGAUCAACGCUUUGGCGCUGGCGAGGCAGAUGGAUUGGAGGUGUCGAGAGACGGAAAGGCCAGUUAGGAGACUAUUGACACAUCCAGUUUUAUAUCUAUGAGAAAAGUCUUGGAUAGCACUAAAGAUUUGGAAACCAUACAUAGCUGGGUGUUAAUUAAAACCAUGGGAGUGGAUAUUAUAUUGUUAGAAAAGAACAAAUGAAGACUGUAGAAAAAAAGAAGGUGGAUGAUGGACAGUAAGAGACACUGAGAUGCGGGUGCAGGGGGAGGGUCCUGCAAUCACAGAGGAGCAGAGAAAGAGUUCCUGCUGCAGCUCAGCAGGCUGAGAACCCAACUGGUAUCCAUGAGGAUGCAAGUUCGAUCCCUGGCCUCGCUCAGUGGCUCAAGGAUCCGGCAUUGCCAUGAGCUGUGGUGUAGGUCGCAGAUGUGGUUCAGAUCCCAAGAUGCUGUGGCUGUGGAGUAGGCCAGCUGCUACAGCUCUGAUUGGACCCCUAGCCUGGGAACCUCCAUAUGCCGCAGGUGUGGCCCUAAAAGGAAAAAAUAAAACAAAACAAAGGAGCAGAGAAGUGGAAGAGCCAGGAAGGACUUGCACCACACAAAGCCAAAAAAAUUCAUAAGUGGCCACUGUGACUUUUUACACCACUGUUAGCAGCCUAGUGUAUCUGAAGUUGCCCUGAUUAAAAGACUCUUUCUCGAUAUGUUUACCAAGCCAUAUUUCUGGAUCUAGCAGGCCACCAAUCAGCAUGGAUGCCAGUUCUGUCUUCCUCCAUGAGGUUUGCUUUUAUUUUUUAAUUUUUUGGCUACACCUGCGACAUGUGGAAGUUCCCGGGCCAGGGAUCAAACACAUGCUACAGUAGUGACCCAAGCUGCUGCAGUGACAAUGCAGGAUCUGCAACCCACUGUACCACCUCUGAGGCUUACUUUUAAAGUUCCACAUCAGGGCUCUCAAAUUCAAACUUUCCAGACAAAGCUGGGAGCAAAAGUGUGUGAAGUAGGUUGGGCAUGAGAUAACACUAUAGAUAGUGGGGUCUGUGGGCACCUGUUAAAGAUGUCCAAAUGGCUUAAAAGCAAGAGAUGGAGCAGACUGGAUUUGGAGGAACACCACACACGUUGACCUCUGACCUGUAGAGCAACUGUGCGGCAAUGUACAGUGUAUUUACAGAUUGCUUCAUUUGACUCCAACCACGGCAUUUGGAGGUAGGUAUUACCAGUGUGCCCAUCUUACAGUACACUCGCUCUGUCUUCAAGACAUCGAGUGACUUGCAUAAGGUCUUAGAGCCAAUGUAUCCUUUAAUGAACCCAGGCCUUGGCCCUGACCCCGAUUCUAUUCUCUCUUCCACACCACAUCAUGGCGGCAUCCACAGUGAGUGCAGGGAGAAAAAGGUGAGAAGUUUUUCUGAGCAAAGGAUGAGCUAUUUUUGUUACUGAAUCUAAAAAUACCAGAAUCCAAGCGACCUACAAAAAACACCAAGAAGCCCGCCUCUGGCCAAGUUCCAAAUGUCAGGGCAUAGAACAGGGAGGAAGUGACACCAGGCAGCGAGGGCUCCUGCUGUCAGGGCAGCCCUGGUGCACAUCUGUCUGAAACUUCUGGAGUGAGCCUAGCCAGAGAGGCUGCAGACUGAAGAGCUCAAAUGCUUUUCAGUCUCUCAUUGUUACAGCUGUUUAGGAAACUCCCAGAGAGAGGCUGAUGGAGGGGACAUGGAGACUUUGAAAUUACCAGGUCAUUUCCAAAGCUGAUGGCCAGCCACCUCUCUCUCUCCUUCCUCCUCUCUCCUUCUUUCCUUUUCUCCCUGUCUCCCCCAUGGCCACUCUUUCUGCCUGUAUCACCCCGUACUCAAGCACUCUAAGGAUGGACCACUUCUGGAUGUCACUAUGCAAAGCACAAGGAAAACUCUUCAGUCUGGAAUGCCAAGAUUGAGCAGCUCCAAGUCUUUCUGCUUAGGCAGAUAUGGAGGUUAAUGAAAGGAAUAUUGUUCUUUCUUAAGCCUGCUCCCCGCCUCUCUGCCCACCAUUAAGGCUGUGGCAGUGGCUCACAGUUUGGAGGACUCUUCAAUUCCAUUUGAAAGGGAAGGUUAAAAGCAACUGGUGAUCGAGAAAUUCUCUCUAGAGACCCCCUGCCUUGGGCUGAACUGAACCGCCAGGAGGAGGAAGCUGAUGAGCUUGACUCUGGAGUAAGACUGUGCCAUUUUGUGGGGCACCAACUUCCAGGGAGUUUGUCUGAACUGAUGACCUCAUGGGAGUUCUGGGGGACCUCGUAAUCAAAGGUCCCUUACAGACAAAAGGAGCAAGGCCUUCAGGUAAACCAGAGGGACGCAUCCGGCCUUCUGGGCUCUGCAGUAAUGUAUUGACACUGGAGAGGUCCUCUUCAUUUAGCUUCUAGUUUCUGACUUGUGCAUUGAAGAAGCUUCAAGCCAGCACUUUGAUAGAAAAAGCAAGAAAGCUGCAUCCACCAGGGGACAUCCAUCUGUAUGGGGAUGAGCUAUCUAAACUGAAGAGCCAAGAUAGGCUUUAGACUGAGCAGUGUUAAAUCACCUUACUUGUGCAAAAAUAUCAGCAGCCUGAAGAUAGAGAAUAGAUUUUUUAAAAAUAUUACAGUAAAAUCUAUGUAAUAUAAACUUUAUCAACUGAACUUUUUUUUUUUUUUUUUUUUUUUUGCUUUUUCGGGCCGCACCCAAGGCAUAUGGAGGUUCCCAGGCUAGGAGCUGAAUCGGAGCUAUAGCUGUCGGCCUACACCACAGCCACAGCAAUGCUGGAUCCCCAACCCACUGAGCGAGGCCAGGGAUUGAACCCACAGCCUCAUGGUUAUUAGAUUCCUUUCCGCUGCACCACAACGGGAACUCCAACUUAACCAUUCUUAAGUCUACAGUUCAGUAAUGUUAAGUAAAUUCACAUGUCUGUGCAGCCAAUCUCUAGGACUCUUUGCAUGCUUCAAAACUGAAACUCUGUACCCAUUAAACCAGAGCUUCCCAUCGCUCCUUCUCCAGCCCCUGGCAACUACCCUCUGUAUUCUGUCUCUGUGAUUUUGACUCCUCUAGAAACCUCAUAUAAAUGGAAUCAUAGUAUUUGUCUUUUUGUGAUUUGCUUAUUUCACUUAGUUCACCCAUGUGUCAUUCAAAGAUUGUAGCAUGUGUCACAAUUUCCUUCAUUUUUUAAGGCUGAAUAAUACUUUAUUUUGCAGAUAUAUUACAUAUAUAAACAAUUAUGUAUUGUUUAUGCACUCGUUUGCUGAUUGAUCCUUGGGUUGCUUCCAUCUUUUGGCUAUUGUGAGUAAUGCUCCUGUGAAACAUAUGUGUACAGUAUCUCUUCAAGCCCCUGCUUUCGAUUAUUUUGAGAAUACAUCCAGCAGUGUAAUUGCUGGUAAGUAUAUUUUUAGUUUUUUAAGGAACCAUCAUAUUGUUUUCCAUAGUGGCUGCAUCAUUUUACAUUCUCACCAAUAGUGCACAAGGGUUCCAUUUUCUCCACCUCCUUGCUGACAUUUGUUAUUUUCUUUCUUUCUUUUUUCUUUUUUUGAUAGUUGUCAUUCUAAUGGGUGUGAGGUGGUAUCUCACUGUGAUUUUCCUUUGCAUUUCUCUGUGGAUGAGUGAUCCUGACCUUCGUGUGCUUGUUGGCCAUGCUCUUUCAUGCACUGGUAUUUCUUCUUUGGAGAAAUGUCUAUUCGAGUGCUUUGCCUAUUUUAAAAUCCAAUUGUUUGUUGGUUGGUAGUUGGUACUGUUGUUCUUGAGUUGUAGGAGGAGAAGAGGUCUUAUUAUGCUCAUAUCUCUAGGACUUCAAAUAACACUUGCCAUGAAAAAAUAUUUGUUGAAUAAAUAUGUUCCGAAUCUCUCUGAUUCA
rnacentral:lncRNA from 1 species